rnacentral:rRNA from 1 species
GAUUAACGCUAGCGGCAGGCCUAAUACAUGCAAGUCGAACGGCAGCACGGGUAGCAAUACCUGGUGGCGAGUGGCGCACGGGUGCGUAACACGUAUGCAAUCUACCUUUAACUGGGGAAUAACCCCCUCGAAAGAGGGGCUAAUACCGCAUAACACUUUGAUGGGACAUCCCAUUAAAGUCAAACCUACGGGGGUUGAAGAUGAGCAUGCGUCCGAUUAGCUAGUUGGCGGGGUAACGGCCCACCAAGGCGACGAUCGGUAGGGGAUCUG